rnacentral:tRNA from 1 species
GAAUUAAUACUUUAAAAAAAAGAAUAAGUUUGCAUCUUAAAAUUGACAUAAGUUUGUCUUAAUUCG